CCGAGUACGGGUCUUCUAGGCUCGAUCUCCCAACCCUAUGUCUACUUAACCAUUGUUGCUUCGGCGUGCCCGUCCUUAAGGGACCGUCGGGGGUCGUUUCGACGUCCUCUGACCAGUGCCUGCCGACAGCCUAAAUCUAUAAAUUCUUUGAUUAAUUGUGUUAUCUGAGUAAAACCUUUAAAUUAUAAAGA
rnacentral:misc_RNA from 1 species